UACAGAGGUCUCAAGCGUUGUUCGGAUUCAUUGGGCGUAAAGGGUGCGUAGGCGGCGCGGUAAGUCGGGUGUGAAAUCUCGGGGCUCAACCCCGAAACUGCACUUGAUACUGUGGUGCUUGAGUACUGGAGAGGAGAUUGGAAUUUACGGUGUAGCAGUGAAAUGCGUAGAUAUCGUAAGGAAGACCAGUGGCGAAGGCGAAUCUCUGGACAGUUACUGACACUGAGGCACGAAGGCCAGGGGAGCAAACGGG
rnacentral:rRNA from 1 species